rnacentral:rRNA from 1 species
GACGAACGCUGGCGGCGUGCCUAAUACACGCAAGUUGAGCGCUGAAGGUUGGUACUUGUACCAACUGGAAGAGCAGCGAACGGGUGAGUAACGCGUGGGGAAUCUGCCUUUGAGCGGGGGACAACAUUUGGAAACGAAUGCUAAUACCGCAUAAAAACUUUAAACACAAGUUUUAAGUUUGAAAGAUGCAAUUGCAUCACUCAAAGAUGAUCCCGCGUUGUAUUAGCUAGUUGGUGAGGUAAAGGCUCACCAAGGCGAUGAUACAUAGCCGACCUGAGAGGGUGAUCGGCCACAUUGGGACUGAGACACGGCCCAAACUCCUACGGGAGGCAGCAGUAGGGAAUCUUCGGCAAUGGACGAAAGUCUGACCGAGCAACGCCGCGUGAGUGAAGAAGGUUUUCGGAUCGUAAAACUCUGUUGGUAGAGAAGAACGUUGGUGAGAGUGGAAAGCUCAUCAAGUGACGGUAACUACCCAGAAAGGGACGGCUAACUACGUG